CCCAGGGCCCGGGAUCGCCGAGCCCGACCUCGGGCGCCCCGCCGGUCACCUCCGCGCGGACACCAGCUUUGCUGUCUGCAUGCCGACAUGCUGGGCUCACUGGGCCCCAAGGAGGCCAAGAAGGCCUUCCUGGACUUCUACCACAGCUUCCUGGAGAAGACAGCGGUGAGAGACCUUCAAGCUGCCCCAACCCCGCAAUCCCUGUUUGGGCCUGCAGAGUCACCAUGCGGUCCCCAACCUCUGCCCUGAGGGCAGCUGCUGACCCAGGCCUUCCCCAGUACUCUCGCUUAGACCAGGGUUCCUGGCAGUCCUCCCGGCCUGCAUCUCAGCACACCAAGUCCUCCUCUUCACCCCAUUCUCUCUCUUGAGCAGGUUCUGCGGGUGCCAGUCCCUCCCAACGUCGCCUUUGAACUUGGUAAGGAGAAGGAUGGGAUGAGGGAGAGGUGUCUAGCGGGGACCACACCUCCCAGGAGGCCAAGGGGAGGGAGGCAGCACUCCCAUGCUCUGCUCGGACAGCCGAGAUUCAUUCAUUCCUUCUUGUCAGCGGCCUCAGGACGUGUGGCUGUUGGA
rnacentral:sRNA from 1 species